GCCUCUAUAGCUAAGGGGUAUAGCGUUGCACUUGUACCACAAAUAUAUGCAAAGGUCCGUCGUUCAAAUCGGCGUGGAGGCA
rnacentral:tRNA from 1 species